GAUGAACGCUGGCGGCGUGCCUAAUACAUGCAAGUCGAGCGAACAGACGAGGAGCUUGCUCCUCUGACGUUAUCGGCGGACGGGUGAGUAACACGUGGAUAACCUACCUAUAAGACUGGGAUAACUUCGGGAAACCGGAGCUAAUACCGGAUAAUAUAUUGAACCGCAUUGUUCAAUAGUGAAAUACGGUUUUGCUGUCACUUAUAGAUGGAUCCGCGCCGCAUUAGCUAGUUGGUAAGGUAACGGCUUACCAAGGCAACGAGGGGUAGCCGACCUGAGAGGGGGGUCGGCCACACUGGAUGUGAGACUCGGUCCAGACUCCGACGGUAGGCAGCAGUAGAGAAUCUUACGCAAUGGGCGAAAGCCUGACGGAGCAACGCCGCGUGAGGGAUGAAGGUCUUAGGAUCGUAAAACUCUGUUAUUAGUGAAGAACAAAUGUGUAAGUAACUAUGCACGUCUUGACGGUACCUAAUCAGAAAGCCACGGCUAACUACGUG
rnacentral:rRNA from 1 species